UAGAGUUUGAUCAUGGCUCAGAUUGAACGCUGGCGGCAGGCCUAACACAUGCAAGUCGAGCGGUAACAGAGAUUAGCUUGCUAAUCUGCUGACGAGCGGCGGACGGGUGAGUAAUGCAUAGGAAGUUGCCCAGUAGAGGGGGGUACCAGUUGGAAACGACUGUUAAUACCGCAUAACCUCUUUGGAGCAAAGCAGGGGACCUUCGGGCCUUGCGCUACUGGAUACGCCUAUGUGGGAUUAGCUAGUUGGUGAGGUAAUGGCUCACCAAGGCGACGAUCCCUAGCUGGUCUGAGAGGAUGAUCAGCCACACUGGGACUGAGACACGGCCCAGACUCCUACGGGAGGCAGCUGUGGGGAAUAUUGCACAAUGGGCGAAAGCCUGAUGCAGCCAUGCCGCGUGUAUGAUGAAGGCCUUCGGGUUGUAAAGUACUUUCAGUUGUGAGGAAGGUUGUGUAGUUAAUAGCUGCAUAAUUUGACGUUAGCAACAGAAGAAGCACCGGCUAACUCCGUGCCAGCAGCCGCGGUAAUACGGAGGGUGCGAGCGUUAAACGGAAUUACUGGGCGUAAAGCGCAUGCAGGUGGUUUGUUAAGUCAGAUGUGAAAGCCCGGGGCUCAACCUCGGAAGGUCAUUUGAAACUGGCAAACUAGAGA
rnacentral:rRNA from 1 species